CCUCUUCUCACCAUCGAAACCAAUUUCGGACACACAUACAUCUCGUUGCCGGCACCUCUUCUCACCAUUGAAACCAAUUUCGGACACACAUACAUCUUGUUGCCGGCACCUCUUCUCACCAUCGAAACCAAGUAAGUA